rnacentral:lncRNA from 1 species
CUCCCACUCAGGGGACCGCUACAGGCGGGGCGGCCGGGGCCUCAGGCACCACAGCAGUAGCCGCAGCCGCAGCAGCUGGUCCCUCAGCCCGUCCCGCAGUCGCAGCCUGACUCGCAGCCGCAGCCAUAGCCCCAGCCCCAGCCAGAGCCGCAGCCGCAGCCGCAGCCGCAGCCAGAGCCCCUCGCCAUCACCCGCAAGAGAGAAGCUGACCAGGCCGGCCGCGUCCCCUGCUGUGGGCGAGAAGCUGAAAAAGACCGAACCUGCCGCUGGUAAAGAGACAGGAGCUGCCAAAGUCAGUAAGAAUUUGGAACUCGCCCGUCUAAUUCCCGUCAGCAGCAGUGCCCAAGAGCUGGGCCCGGUGGGCCUGCAGGGGGGCCCGGGUGGGCUGGGAGAUCCAGCCCCAGGGACAGGGAGGGGAGGGGAAGGGUCUGCCCCUGUGAGAACCAUGUCCCUCUCCCCUCCUCACUGUACACUGGGGCUCCACCUGUCACUGAACCUCUGGGAGCCUCAGGGCUGUCCACAGCCUGCCCCUCCUCCCCACGUCGUUCUCCCCCCCCCACCCCCCCCCCGCACAAAGCCCCAGGCUUUUGGCUGAGGUGGGUUGUGGGAGCUCUGGGACACCCACCCCCUCUCCCGCCUCUUCUCCCCCCUCCCCAGCCCAAGCUGACGCCUCAGGAGAAGCUGAAACUGAGGAUGCAGAAGGCGCUGAACAGGCAGUUCAAGGCGGAUAAGAAGGCGGCACAAGAAAAGAUGAUCCAGCAGGAGCAUGAGCGGCAGGAGCGGGAAGACGAGCUUCGAGCCAUGGCCCGCAAGAUCCGCAUGAAGGAGCGGGAACGCCGAGAGAAGGAGAGAGAAGAGUGGGAACGCCAGUACAGCCGGCAGAGCCGCUCACCCUCCCCCCGAUACAGUCGAGAAUACAGCUCUUCUCGAAGGCGCUCAAGGUCCCGAUCCCGAAGCCCCCAUUACCGACAUUAGGCAGAAGAGUGGGGGGUGGGGAGGACAAGGGGGUGGGUAAGGGGCUCAAGCUGUGAUGCUGCUGGUUUUAUCUCUAGUGAAAUAAAGUCAAAAGUUAUUUAAUUCCCGUC